GACGAACGCUGGCGGCGUGCUUAACACAUGCAAGUCGAACGGAAAGGCCCUGCUUUUGUGGGGUGCUCGAGUGGCGAACGGGUGAGUAACACGUGAGUAACCUGCCCUUGACUUUGGGAUAACUUCAGGAAACUGGGGUUAAUACCGGAUAGGAGCCCCUGCUGCAUGGUGGGGGUUGGAAAGUUUCGGCGGUUGGGGAUGGACUCGCGGCUGAUCAGCUUGUUGGUGGGGUAGUGGCUUACCAAGGCUUUGACGGGUAGCCGGCCUGGGAGGGUGACCGGCGACAUUAGGACUGAGAUACGGCCCAGACUCCUACGGGAGACAGCAGUGGGGAAUAUUGCACAAUGGGCGGAAGCGUGAUGCAGCAACGCCGCGUGCGGGAUGACGGCCUUCGGGUUGUAAACCGCUUUCGCCUGUGACGAAGCGUUAGUGACGGUAAUGGGUAAAGAAGCACCGGCUAACUACGUG
rnacentral:rRNA from 1 species